CAGAAAGACCCUAUGAAGCUUUACUGUAACUUGAAAUUGAAAUUGGACUUUAUUCGCGCAGUAUAGGUGGGAGGCGUUGAUUAUAGUCUUGCGGGACUAUCGGAGCCAUUAGUGAGAUACCACUCUUGUAAUGUUAGAUUUCUAACUUUGAAUCAUGACCUGGUCAAAGAACAGUUUCAGGCGGGCAGUUUGACUGGGGCGGUCGCCUCCUAAAUGGUAACGGAGGCGUACAAAGGUUUCCUCUGAACGGGUAGAAAUCGUAUCUAGAGUGUAAAGGCAUAAGGAAGCUUGACUGUGAGACCUACAAGUCGAGCAGGGACGAAAGUCGGUCUUAGUGAUCUGACGGUACUGAGUGGAAAGGCCGUCACUCAACGGAUAAAAGUUACUCUAGGGAUAACAGGCUGA
rnacentral:rRNA from 1 species